rnacentral:lncRNA from 1 species
GAGAGAGUUGGCUGUAGAACCGGUAUGGCAUUCCAGGAAGGAAGGUCCCAGCCAGGGGUGCCUUGAGAAGCCAAUAUCCCACUUGUCGAUAAAAUCCUACUGGCACAUGUGUGUGGCAGUCUUUCAACCAAGCACCUUCACAUCUAGGUGCUCCUUCAAUCCUUUGUCUGAAGGUGGGAACUCACCACUCUGUGCUUCACUUAGGCUGUUCCCCCUGCCUGGAGUGCCCUUUUCCCCCUCCCCAUCACUAGACUCACAGCAUUCUAUUCAUGGUGAUAUUCAAAUAUAUCUAUAUCACAUUUUGCUAUAAUUAUUUUGCAUCUGUCUCCGCUUCUGGGCCAUGAGCUACAGAUUCUCUCUCCUCUCCACCCAAUUCAUCCUCAAUGCCUCACAUGUCAUCUGCGCAUGCCAGGUGCUCAACUUCUAUUGAGAAGUGACUGAAAGCAACAUAACAUAUGAACAUAAAGACUGGGAUAUUGUAAGGGGGAUUCAGGCAUGGCGUGGCAGGUUGGACUAAGUCAUCGUUAGGUUCCACCCAACUUUGAGGAGCUUGGAUUCUGUGACUGACACUGGAAAGUCCACUGUAGUAGGUAGACAUCUACUGGGUGCCCUCCAGCAUCUAUUCUCCCUCUUCUCCUUUCUUAAAAGGCCAGUAGCUUCCUUCCCAAGUCAAUCAGUUCAUCUUAUUCCCCAGUCACAGAAACUGGUUCAGAAAUAGGCAUUUCAAGCCAAGAAGACAAAAAGAGGUGUUUUCUUGGGGCCCUGGAAAAGCACUGUACUCUCUUAUCUAGGAGCUACCAAACAGAGAGAGAGAACACAAGCGAGAGGGAGAGAGAAAGAAUUAGCCUUAGGAUGAGACAUACUAAAAGAAAGUAUUCAUUGUUAAUCUGAAACUCAACUAGACAUCCUGUAAUUUUUUCCUGCUAAUUCUGACAACCCAAUGAUUCCAUGGAGGGCAGAAGAGAGAGACCAGAAAGAAACUGGACUUUUGGUGAUACAGUUGAGCCACUGAAUCAAGCCUUGCCUGAAGCCCACGCUUCUGAAAUUUUCAGGUACACAAACCAAUAAACCGUCUUUGUUUAAUUAGAUUUGAGACUAGUUUCAAUCUUUAGGAACUUCCUUGUCUUAAUUGGUUUAUCAAAAGCUGAAAGUUUUGAUCUUUUAGGGAUGCAGAUCUUGUUAGGAGAAGGCCUGCUUUGCAUCCUUUUCUUAGUCUGGCUGUCCUACUCAGGAACUUCUACAGGGCUCCAUCCCUUCUCGUGAUGUUAAUUUUGUCAACCCGACAGGACCAUGGGGUGCCCAGAUAUUUGGUUAAAUAUUAUUCUGGGUGUAUCUGUGUGGGUGUUUCCAGAUGAGAUGAACAUUUGAAUCGGUGGACCAAAUAGAGCAUCUGGCAGCUCCCCAAAGUGAUUGGAUCUCAUCCAAUCCACUGAAGGCCUGAGUAGAACAAAAGGGCAGGGUACAUGAGAAUUUGCUCUGUGUGCUUGCCGCGAAACCGGUGAUUGGUCUUCUGCCUUCAGACUUGGACACAGACUGGAGCUUACAUCAUUGGCUCUCCUGGCUCCUUGACUUUUGGACUCACACUGAAACUAUACCAUAGGCUCUCCUGGGUCUCCAGUUUGCUGCCUGCGUUCACGUGUGUGUACACACACAUAUAGAUCUCCUAUUAAUUCAUAUAUAUAGACACACACACACACACACACACACACACACAACCUCCUAUGAAUCCUGUUCCUUUAGAGAACCCAGACUAAGUAAUACACUCCUCUACUCAGACAAGCAUCCCUACAGACACUCACUAGGCUAACUCUGGCUUUAUUUUUAGCAUGAGACCUUUACGAGAAGCACAGUUUUGUCUUCAGCUUCCUUUCCCCCCACCCGAAGCGGUCUGAGCUGAGGCCAGCUCCCUCCGAGAAGUCAUUACCACCCGGUGGGUGCUGCAGCCUCAGCCCUGAGCACAGACUGGCCAGUGUCUGCUUGGCUCCAGGGCAGUGAGGAGCUGCCUCGGGACCGACAAAAAACUGACCAGCUUGUUUUGCUUUGGGACCAGAAGAAACCAGCUCCUUUUAAUUCUCAAUGGCCAGGCUUGGAAAUCCAGCUUGCCAGAAGAGGGGAAGGGGGCAGAGAAGCAGUCCUUUGGGGAAGGCUCUGGCCAGGACAUUCAAAAGGCAGGAUUUUGCUGGAAACUGUGCUCCGUAGCCAAGACCAGGUGGAAAGAUCAAUUUGGGCUUUAUGAAUUAGUCCCUUCAUUUUUCUGGGUCUGCUUUUCCUCAUCUGUAAAACAGGUUGGGCCAUCAGGCUGCGGAGCAGAUAUUCAGGGCUCAGGGCCCAAGAAAAUGAUACGGAGUCCCAGUUACUUGGCUUUGGGCCUGAGGCAGGGGCUGGGGCGAGGGCAGAGGGCAAAAGCCCAGCGUGAGGCAGGCACAACCACGAGGGCAAUGGCUGAAGCCUUUCAGAUCAGCUCAACUCAUGGUAACAAGCUGGGAACCACUGCACUGCUUUGAACAGCCCCCCCCAUCACCCACCUCCCUCCAUUUCUGAUCUUACUUUGCCCAGCUCCUCACUCUCAGCUCCACUGACACCCCCACAGACCCUGCAAUGGUAUCUGGGCGCAUUGGUUGCAACAUCUUGCAUUCUCCAAGGGUGCUGAUUUAGAUCUGUUCUUUGGGCCCUCCUGCUUUGGACCUCCUCAGGUAAGAUACCCCGACUCUGAUGUAUUAGU